CGGAGUGUAGGCUAACGGUAAGUCACUGGGUUCGGGAUCCAGCCCUAUGGGAAAUGCAGGUUCAAAUCCUGUCACUCCGA
rnacentral:tRNA from 1 species